rnacentral:rRNA from 1 species
UCCGUAGGUGAACCUGCGGAAGGAUCAUUACCAAAACAGCUGUCCUGACCUGCAAAGGUCUUGACGCUUCAACCCUUUGUGAACCAAAAAAACCUUUUUCGCUUCGGUAGCAAAUCAGUUGUGGUGAGAGCUGCAGCUGUUCCGUAAGCCUACCGGCAGCACCAAACCAAAAACUUGUUGUCAAACAUUGUCUGAACUAUAUAUUUUCGAAUGAAAAUUAAAACUUUCAACAACGGAUCUCUUGGUUCUCGCAUCGAUGAAGAACGCAGCGAAACGCGAUAGUUAAUGUGAAUUGCAGAAUUCAGUGAAUCAUCGAGUCUUUGAACGCACAUUGCGCCCAUCGGUAUUCCUUUGGGCAUGUCUGUUUGAGCGUCAUUACAACCCUCAGCGCAAGCUGGUGUUGAGCUAGACCCUAGCCUUCGGUUGGGUGCUGGCUUAAAGUUGUAAGCUCUGCUGGCUGCUUUGCCCAACCAAAACGUAGUAAAAUUUUUACAUCUCGUUCGUGGUAAGGCUUUGCAGGUAACCGGCCUGAACAAAAUCUUUAUUUUCUAAGGUUUGACCUCAGGAUCAGGACAAGGGGGAUACCCGGCUGGAACUUAAGGCAUAUCAUAAGGCG